UAAGGAAUAUUGGUCAAUGGACGCAAGUCUGAACCAGCCAUGCCGCGUGAAGGAUGAAGGUCCUCUGGAUUGUAAACUUCUUUUAUCUGGGACGAAAACGGGAUUUUUAUCUCAAUUGACGGUACCAGAGGAAUAAGCACCAGCUAACUCCGUGCCAGCAGCCGCGGUAAUACGGAGGGUGCGAGCGUUAUCCGGAUUUACUGGGUUUAAAGGGUGCGUAGGUGGGCUUAUAAGUCAGUGGUGAAAUCUCCGAGCUUAACUUGGAAACUGCCGUUGAUACUAUAGGUCUUGAAUUAUCUGGAGGUAAGCGGAAUAUGUCAUGUGGCGGUGAAAUGCUUAGAUAUGACAUAGAACACCAAUUGCGAAGGCAGCUUACUACAUAUAAAUUGACGCUGAGGCACGAAAGCGUGGGGAUCAAACA
rnacentral:rRNA from 1 species